GCCAGUGUGUUGUAGUGGUUUGAGCCAUGGACUAGGAUUUCAGGAGACCAGGGUUCAAAUCCCUACUCGGCCA